UGGGUGAUCGUUCAACGGUAGGACAGCGGACUCUGACUCCGUCAAUCUUAGUUCGAAUCUAAGUCACCCAGCCA
rnacentral:tRNA from 8 species